CCUACGGGCGGCAGCAGUGAGGAAUAUUGGUCAAUGGACGAGAGUCUGAACCAGCCAAGUAGCGUGAAGGAUGACUGCCCUAUGGGUUGUAAACUUCUUUUAUAUGGGAAUAAAACGUUCCACGUGUGGGAUUUUGUAUGUACCAUAUGAAUAAGGAUCGGCUAACUCCGUGCCAGCAGCCGCGGUAAUACGGAGGAUCCGAGCGUUAUCCGGAUUUAUUGGGUGUAAAGGGAGCGUAGGUGGAUUGUUAAGUCAGUUGUGAAAGUUUGCGGCUCAACCGUAAAAUUGCAGUUGAAACUGGCAGUCUUGAGUACAGUAGAGGUGGGCGGAAUUCGUGGUGUAGCGGUGAAAUGCUUAGAUAUCACGAAGAACUCCGAUUGCGAAGGCAGUUCACUGGACUGCAACUGACACUGAGGCUCGAAAGUGUGGGUAUCAAACAGGAUUAGAUACCCCAGUAGUC
rnacentral:rRNA from 1 species